UCCAAAAAACUAAAGCCCAAUAAAAAAAAGUUGAGUUCUUCUCUGAAGCGAUUUUCACCCCUUUCUCUGAACCAGAUUGAUUUUACCACUGUCGAUAAGCGAUUCUCGAACUGUUUCGAUAAGCGAUUCUCUCUCGUCAAGCGAUUUUCAUCCCCUGCCUCCGAACCAGAUGUUCUACAGCAAUUCGAUUCAACCAAUGCCGGCGGCAUUAGGAGAAUUUUUAAGGGAAGUAGAAGUUGCCUUUUAUGAUGACUGGGAAAAUUAUGAUCAAUUUUGCAAACUCUGGCAAGAUUUUCACUUUAGAAGAAUUCAUUUUUUAGUUUUCGAAGCAAAAUUGAAGAGCUUGUUUCAAGGACAUGAAUAUUUAAUUUUGGAAUUCAACAAACUUGUGCCGCAACAUUCAUCACAGUAUUUCGAAGCAGUCAAAGUUGCUUUAAAAGAUGAUUAUCAUGCUUUUAUUAAAGUUUUUCAAGAUUACAGGGCAAGAAAGAUUGAUGAAAGGUGUCUUUCUUCAAGAGUGAAGGAGCUGCUCAGAGUGCAUGCGUUUUUAGUUCCAGCUCCACUUCCUCGUUGGGAUCAACUUACUACUGGUGUGCUUUCUGUCAUUUCGCAAAAACCUCCUUGGGAUGAACUUACUUUUGAUGUGCUUUCUGUCAUUUCCCAAAAACUAGAUUUUGCCGACCUCUUUCAGUUUUCUCGAGUCUGCACAAAUUGGAGACUUUUUCAUAAAUCAAUUGAUAAAUCAAAAUUCUUGAUAUCCCAAGAACCAUUACUUGUUGAGUUUUUGAAUUAUCCUGUUAGGCUACCAUAUUCCUUUACUAGCCUACCCAAACAAAAGGUCUAUCCUUUGAAGAAGAUGAUGAUGAACAUGUUGAGUUACUCACAUGACUCCUCCUUCCCUAUCUAUGUUACCUGUUCAUGUGGAUAUUUCGUUAUUAUAGCGGACAAUUCUUCGCUUCUGCUCAUCAAUCCAUUUGCAAGAAUAAAGAAGAAGGUAAUUUGUCCAUCCACCUUUGAGAGUUUCUCACCUCGACAUAAAUACCGUGCAUUACUUGAUUUUGACAAAGACUCUGAGGAAUUUGUUUUGGUAUUUUUAUUCUAUGUGUCCGGCAGUCUGCAUGUCUAUCAAUCUCGAAAUAAUGGUUGGAUUACUUGUUCCACUGUCUAUCCCCAUGAUAUUGUUGACGACGACUUUGUUCACAACUUUGUUGACGACUUUGUGGCUUUGAACAAUAUAAUAUAUGUUGUUACUUCGGAGGCCAGGAUAGGGGUACUCAAUUUGAAUUCUGCAAAUAUUGAAUUUUUUGAAAUGGCUAAUUCCCUAGAAAUAGAAUUAGAAGUAGAGACAUCAUCCAUUAACUUGGUUAAAUGUGAUGAACAACUUUUUCUAGUUCGAUUAAAUCCUCAUCUUGCAGGGGGGUCCCCUCCGCCAGAUAGAAAAGUUUUCAAGAUAGAUUUCUCAACCAUGACUUACGUGGAACUCGAAACCUUGGGGGAUAUUGCAUUAUUUUAUGUUUGUUUUAACAGCUGUAAGGCAUUGAGCAACCCGAAUAAAUGGGGGUAUGAGAGCAACUCUGUGUAUCAAGUUUGUAGUCAUCCUGUUCAUCAAAUACCCAAUUGUAGUGUUUAUGAUUGGGAUGAAAAAUCUCUAAAAUAUAUUGCGCCUCCAAAUCUUCAAACAAAGGGCGGCAGUAUCUUAGAUUGGUAUUUUACAAUAUGAACUAGAUUAUUCUCUCUAACUAUUGAGUAAACUUUGUUCGUUCUUCAUGUUACUAUUUAUUACUUUUGCUGUAAAAGAAUUUCUAUUAUUUUGUUAGGGUAUUUCUCCAAUUUUAUUAACUUUACUGUUUAUAUUCUUAAUCGUUCUGUUCUAUGUGCUUAGUGAACCACUUUUGCGGUUGUUUCUCCAAUUUUGUUAGGGUUGCAUCCAAUAAAUCUUUUCAUAGUGAAUUUUUUUCCUAAUAUGAAAAUGUACAACAUUGAACCACUGUAAAAAGAUGAAAUCGGGAUGGAGUGAUUGGUCAUUGAUUUCUAUAAAUCUUGAAUUUAUAUUAAUUUACUAUGUGUCUGCAUUCUAAUCUUUUCAAUCCAAAUAUUACAUUGUAAAGGGAUAUCAAGUGUUCUAAUAUAUUGAUUGAUGUAAAUGGUUCAGUCAAGCUUGCAGAUUUUGGGUUGGCAAAGCAUCAAAAUGUAUCUUUGCAUGCGCAAAGGAAAUGGAAAAAGGAGGCAUACUGACUUUACAAUUGGGCUUGGGAAACUUCCAACCAUUUUGACCAUCAAAAUACGACCCUAUAUGUAAUUCAAAAUUGAACCUUUAUGAAUUCUUUGCAAUGUAUCAUAACAUGUAUUAAUCA